CGGCAGGCUCAGAUCUUGGAGAUGACCCACCGACGCGAUGCGUCCUGCCCGGAGAAAUCGUCGGUGGUGCCAACUUGUAGCCAUCGUGUGUGUGGAAGGUGGGGCAUUCCAAAAUUGACGAUUUUUCUGUUGUCUUCCAGGAUUCCCGAUCUGAAGUUGGGAAGCCAAAUUUGACAAUUUUCCUGUUGUCUUCCUGGGUUCCAUAGUAUUCACAUCAGUCAGCGGCCAUGCUCUAGAAGAUUUGCUAAUCAAGUUUCGCGUAUCGAAAAUCAAUUUUCUGGAGCGCUCCUUUAUGGGUGUUGGACAGGGUGAAUUAGGAGAAGGCUUUCAUGUCUCCAGGUCUAUCAAAGCUGUGGUGCCAUCUCCGACCUUCUAGCGCCUCCACCACAUCGUCGUAGCGUUUGCUCGAUGCAUCAGGGGCAAACCCCCCGACUUUCUUCCUUCUCCAGAGCCUAAGACCUCGCCGAUGAGCAGGUAUUUAAUCGCUUACAUCGAUCCCCAUUUAUAUUUCUCAAAUUAACCUUACUGUGUUGUUGAUUUUGCUUCGCACAUGUUUGUUUCCGCUCAAGUUACACUACAGGGCGAAAUCUCAAAUCUUAAAUGAUUUGCCGAUUAUUUUUGUCAUGCUUUCUAUAAUUAUAUUCAUAGAUUUUUGUAUUGUUUGCAUCCCCAAUGAUGCAUGCUUAUUGAUUUGUUCUUCUGGAUUUCCUACAUCAGUACAGGAUGCAUAGUUGGUUAUGAUACUAGGAAGGUUGGAGCUCUGAAUUUCAUUUGAUAUGCACUGUAUCCCAACAGGGAAAAAAGAUUAGAUCAGAUUGUCAAGCAGUUUAAGAGGGUUGGAGCUCUGAAUUUCAUUUGACAUGCACUAUAUCCCAACAGGAAAAUAAAAGAUUAGACCAGAUUGUCAAGCAGUUCAAGCGGUUCUUGAGGACUACAUAUUGUAUCUCUUGCUCUAUGUUUUUUGAAGUUUACUUCCAUAUAUCCAAGCAUGCAUAUGCCGUCUCACCAUCAUGUCUCAGCUUUACCAGGAGUUUUUUCUUCUUUAUUUCAGUUUCUUUCAAGAAUCAAGAUUACCUAGCACAAUGCAAGUUAGUAUACAAAUAAUUAUGUUUCAACUCAUGUACGCCUAAAGUGUUGGCUGCAUGUUGUCAUGAAAAUAGUAGCUACAUGGAUUAUAUCAGAUUAAGGUCCAAACAUGUACACACUGCACUCCGGGCAUUCUUUUAUAUUAUCCCCAUAUCAAUAUGAGCUCACACAACAUUGAUGGCCGACAACCUUAUCUUCCCUUGGAUCCACAUAUAACUGGUGGGUGAAAACUUUUAUUCUCUACUCUUGAAUCGAGCUAAUUUUUACCAUUGCAGAAUUUCAGUCACUUACAGGAACGCACUUCAACUUAUCCACCAGAGUUAAUCAGAAGUGCUUGCAUCGCACCAUACUACAAACCAUUUAGUGUCAUUCCAGAAUAAAUUGUAUGUAACACAUUUUGCUCGCCCCUUUUACCCUGUGUAAUUCUGCACAUGUUUGUAUCUCGAGCACAUGAUUUUUGAUGUACAAAUAUUUCACUACAAGUUGGGAUACGCAUUUGCAAACUUAUAUUUUGUUUGCAAACUUA